UACGUAGGGUGCGAGCGUUGUCCGGAAUUAUUGGGCGUAAAGAGCUCGUAGGCGGUUUGUCACGUCGGAUGUGAAAACCCGAGGCUUAACCUCGGGCCUGCAUUCGAUACGGGCUGACUAGAGUUCGGUAGGGGAGUGUGGAAUUCCCGGUGUAGCGGUGAAAUGCGCAGAUAUCAGGAGGAACACCGGUGGCGAAGGCGGGAUCCUGGGCCAGUACUGACGCUGAGGAGCGAAAGCGUGGGGAGCAAACAGG
rnacentral:rRNA from 1 species